GGAGUUUUCGGCAAUGGGGGAAACCCUGACCGAGCAACGCCGCGUGAGUGAUGACGGCCCUAUGGGUUGUAAAGCUCUGUUGUAAGGGACGAAUGAUUCGCUUAGGAAAUGAAGCGAGUUUGACGGUACCUUACCAGAAAGCCACGGCUAACUACGUGCCAGCAGCCGCGGUAAUACGUAGGUGGCAAGCGUUAUCCGGAUUCAUUGGGCGUAAAGCGAGCGCAGGCGGUUUUUUAAGUCUGAUGUGAAAGCCUUCGGCUUAACCGAAGAAGUGCAUCGGAAACUGGGAAACUUGAGUGCAGAAGAGGACAGUGGAACUCCAUGUGUAGCGGUGAAAUGCGUAGAUAUAUGGAAGAACACCAGUGGCGAAGGCGGCUGUCUGGUCUGUAACUGACGCUGAGGCUCGAAAGCAUGGGUAGCGAACA
rnacentral:rRNA from 1 species